AACGAACGCUGGCGGCAUGCCUAACACAUGCAAGUCGAACGAGACCUUCGGGUCUAGUGGCGCACGGGUGCGUAACGCGUGGGAACCUGCCCUUAGGUUCGGAAUAACUCCCCGAAAGGGGUGCUAAUACCGGAUAAUGUCUUCGGACCAAAGAUUUAUCGCCUUUGGAUGGGCCCGCGUUGGAUUAGCUAGUUGGUAGGGUAAAAGCCUACCAAGGCGACGAUCCAUAGCUGGUCUGAGAGGAUGAUCAGACACACUGGGACUGAGACACGGCCCAGACUCCUACGGGAGGCAGCAGUGGGGAAUAUUGGAAAACGGGCGAAAGCCUGAUCCAGCAAGGCCGGGUGAGUGAUGAAGGCAUUAGGGUUGUAAAGCGCUUUUACCCGGGAUGAUAAUGACAGUACCGGGAGAAUAAGCUCCGGCUAACUCCGUG
rnacentral:rRNA from 1 species